rnacentral:rRNA from 1 species
AGGACGAACGCUGGCGGCGUGCUUAACACAUGCAAGUCGAGCGGUAAGGCCUUUCGGGGUACACGAGCGGCGAACGGGUGAGUAACACGUGGGUGAUCUGCCCUGCACUUCAGGAUAAGCCUGGGAAACUGGGUCUAAUACCGGAUAUGACCUGCUCUCGCAUGGGGGUGGGUGGAAAGAUUUAUCGGUGCAGGAUGGGCCCGCGGCCUAUCAGCUUGUUGGUGGGGUAAUGGCCUACCAAGGCGACGACGGGUAGCCGACCUGAGAGGGUGACCGGCCACACUGGGACUGAGACACGGCCCAGACUCCUACGGGAGGCAGCAGUGGGGAAUAUUGCACAAUGGGCGAAAGCCUGAUGCAGCGACGCCGCGUGAGGGAUGAAGGCCUUCGGGUUGUAAACCUCUUUCAGCAGGACGAAGCGCAAGUGACGGUACCUGCAGAAGAAGCACCGGCUAACUACGUGCCAGCAGCCGC